ensembl:lncRNA
GGGAGGGAUCCGUGCACGGAGACAGAGACAGACGAUCAUGGACAGCAAACUACGCAGAUGUUAACGUAGGACCAAAGGCUGAGAGCUCAUCGAUGGACAAAUGGUUGCUGAAGAACCCUCAAUCUUUCUGCAUAUGUAAUGGGGACAGGAGUCACAGGAAGAAUGCACCUUCCCCCGUCACCGCUGUGGGGUGCUUCCGUUUCCUGGGCUCCAUCAUCACCCAGGACCUCCAGCGGGAGCUGAACAUCAGCUCCAUCACCAAGAAGGCUCAGCAGCCGAUGUUCUUCCUGAGGCAGCUGAAGAGGUUCAACCUGCUUAAGACAAGGAUGGUACACGGCCAUCAUUGAGUCUUUGCAGGAGGCUGCGGCCCAUCAGGACCAAGACCUCCUGCACAGAAACAGCUUCUUCCCGUCGUCAGUUGGUCUCAUAAACCGAGUCCGAGUCCCCCACGGACCCAGACAUUACAUCCCCAGGACAUUUGCACAGUGGUUUCUCACCAUGGAAACAGGUGUACAUACAUAUGUGUUUUAACGUCCUUAUCUUAUUUGUUUAUAUUGUUCAUUUUUAAUUUGACCUUAUUUUACUUUAUCUUACUUUAUUCUCAUAUUGCACCAAACACCAAAAUAAAUUCCUCUAUGUGUAACACACGUGGCAAUAAACGGCUUCUGAUUGUGAUCGAGCAGACCAGGCUUUUCAGCGUCCAACUGCAACGCCCGAAAAACAUGCUGACUGGCCUGAAAAGACACAACACUUUACCACCACUUCUGUUUCCUAGUCAUCAUUAUGUGUGUGUGUGUGUGUCUGAUGGAUGGGCUGCCCUAAUGUAUUCCACCGCAGUUUAAAUUCAUUACGCCACUUUUCCCAGCUGAUUGUGAUUGUGAAAGAGGGGGCACAGGGUGACUAACACACUGUCUCACCAUCCGUCCUCUUUGUCUCCUGUCUUCUCGAUUCUAAAGCGACCUCUCUUUUCGAAUCUGCAUCUCUCUCUGUGUCUUUUUGUCGGUCCCUCUCAUUAGCCCUUGAUGUCCAUCCUGCUGGACUACAGCAUCUCUCGUGGGGUCAACGAGAGACCACAACCUAAUAACUAAAGAGUGGGCAACCGUGAGGAUUUUGCCGACCCCUCCCCAGGCAGACACUUCAUACGCAUGCUCACUGCUCGUGGACACUCACACACCGCCCGUGUGAUUAGUCAGAAGCGGGGGAACCAAAGUGCACUCAACGUGGGUGAAGUGCGGAGAGCGGAGGAUGGGAGGGGAUUAACAAGGAAGAUCGCAAGAUCAACCAGUGCGAGUAGAGGGAAGGCCAGCGGGGCCGAGAUGAAAGCAGGAGAGUCCAAAUGGUUCAAACAAAAUCAUUUCCUGGUGAUUAGCAUUAGCACAUGCACGGAGCAAUGAGGUGAUAUGAUAAUCAGGGCUCAUCACAACUGUGCCCACAGUUCGUCUUACAGUGCUCCCUGUUCUUGAGUCUCAAUCAAUUUAUCCUGCUUCCUUUCUACUACUAGACUACUACUACUCUUUGUAGGAAUGUCUUCAUUUCUUGCAAACAAUUAGAACGGCAAUAAGGAAAUGAAGUCUGAUUAAACAAGAUUUAACAAGCUAACUGGUUAGCUUUACAGGUGCUGCUGCAUGAAUCUUGAUACCUCGGACAAGGCCAGGUUUCCUCAUUUCCAGUCUUUAUGCUA